GACGAGCCUCACGAACGUUAUUCGGAAUUACUGGGCUUAAAGGGUGCGUAGGCGGCGUGGAAAGUUGGGUGUGAAAUCCCUCGGCUUAACCGAGGAACUGCGCCCAAAACUACCAUGCUCGAGGAAGAUAGAGGUGAGCGGAACUUACGGUGGAGCGGUGAAAUGCGUUGAUAUCGUAAGGAACACCCGUGGCGAAAGCGGCUCACUGGGUCUUUUCUGACGCUGAUGCACGAAAGCUAGGGGAGCAAACGGG
rnacentral:rRNA from 1 species